CUCACCUCGAGGUCCUUAACUUCAUUGCAUCUGCAAAGACCCUCUUUACAAAUAAGGUCCCGUCCUCAGGUACCGGGGGCUGGGACGUGGACAUAUCGUUUUAGGAGGGUGACACCACUUGACCCACUAUACUUGCCAGAAACUAAAGAUGCUAUACAGGUAAAUGCAAUAAAAGCAAAUCCAUGUAAUUAAAUUUUAACCGUGACCUUUUACCUGCCAUGGGCUCUGGGCCCAAGGCCCACCCUCUCUCUGUUAAAAAGGGGGACCAGCUGGUGUCAGAGACCUGUUAGCACCCACCCAAGGCUUUCUCUUUGAUCGGAUCAGAAGGGCUGACCAAAGAGAAGCAGGUCACGCUAGGACUGUUGUUAGGUCUGUGCCUUGUUCCCCUUAAAAUCAUUUCAGGACCGCCGGAGAUGCUGUGAGUGGCUCACACACAUCACGGUGUGGUGCCAACUGUGAGUUUGGGGGAUUUUUUUGAACCUUCCUUCUCCAGUAGACUCACCUACAGGCAAGGAUGGUGUCUUACCUGACAUGGUCUCCCCAAGGCUGGGCACAGGGGCUGGCCUGCUGUGGGCUCUCCACGAAUUGAGUUGGAUGGAUGGACGGGCGGGCGGACGGACGGAUGGAUGGUCGGAUGGGGCCAUUCUUGGACACAGUCCCAAGUUCCCGAAGCCUGAAUUCCAUUCCUGAGUCUAUGCCCGUGACCCUGACCUUCAGCCUCACCCAAUUUGUGUUCACUCUGGUGUCUUCCCAGGGCCAACCAGACACGUUUGAAAUAAUCUGCCACGGCUGGGUUGACAAAGACAGGAGCCUUUGGGGGCUCUACUUUGCCGCCAUCAGAAAUUCUGUGUCCCCCACCCUUCCCCAGGGCUCUGAGCUGAGACAGCUGUGCUGGCGUCUCCACGUCCACGGAAACCUCAGGCAGCCCCAAGCGGGCUUCGGAGCGCAGACCCCGUUCAAGUCCCUGGGCUGUUCCUCCCCAGCCACGCACGUGGUUAAACCCCGGAUGCUCCUGGCAGGGCCUUGGUUGUGUAGACGGAGCGGGGACAGGUGAAGGCGAAGAGAAAGUCUGCGCUGGCCGCUUGUCCGUCUUUGACAGCCAUUCACGCACACGUGCACCGACCCGUUAGCUGACCGCCCCUUCGCGCAAGAGCAAGAAGCCCCCGCCCCCACAGUGUCAACACGCAACCUCUGGAGCCAGAAGCGACUGUUCCCCGUCAUUUUCACUGUACGUGCUGACAGCCACCUGCCUCUUAGGGAAAGCCAGACUGGUGGUGCGGUUGUGGCAAUAUUGUGAAAUGUCCUCCUCGAUUAAAAUUA
rnacentral:lncRNA from 1 species